ACCAGUUCCCUCACACAAGGAAAUAACCACUGCUGCAGAAGACCAUAUAAUCCCAGUUCCCAGGCCCGGAAUCAGAGAAACUCAGUGGCCCAGCUGUGAAGAUACAACCCGAAAUGGGGAUGGCAACGAGUGCGCGGAGCUACUCUGUGAUUCCAGUGAUGCAAUCGGAACUAACACCAGCGUGAUGGUGUGAAUGGCCUUCUCCUGUUCUCUGUCACUCUGGGAUGAUCUGAACAGUGAAAGUUAUUCUCUACAGUAAGGCAAUGCAGCAGGGAGAUAGCACUGCAGUGGUGAUAUUUAUCCAAGUAAUCCCUGGGGACUGAAACACAGCAGCUGCGAGAGUUUAAAUUCAAUGAAUAAAAUCUGGAAUGUAAACCUGAAUUUCAGGAACAGAGGCCAUGACUUUAAUUUCCUGAAAUCCCAUUCAUUCAUGUCCCUUUGGAAGGGAAGUCCUUACCUGGUCUGGCAUACAAGUGACUUGAGGCCCACAACAACACAGUUGACCCCUUACUGCCCUCUGACAUCAGUUCAAGGUAAAUUAAGGAUGAACAACAAAUGGUGUCCUGACCAGCGAUACCCACAUCCCAUGGGAGAAUAAGGAAGAACAAAAACACAUUCACAACAAGGAAAAAUGGCCUUCUGUCUGCAUUGACUCGAAUUCACCCGAUCGCCCAAUCUGGAUAGAGACAAGGACACCCACAGCACAGAGAAACCAGGGAACUGUGUGGACUGAGGGAAGGAUUCAAUUACCCGCUGGAGGUGGAAACUCAUUUACUCAGUCACACUGGGGCGAGGUUGUUCAUCCUUCCCCUGUGUGGGAAGGGAUCACUCAGAAAAACAAACUCCGGAGACACCCACAAAUUCAGAUAUGGUUAUAUUCUGCUAUUAUAGCUGCUACAAAUCCCCAACUAAGAAUGAACCGUAUCUGGACACCUAUUUCCAGUAGAAUUCUGAGGAUUACUCGAUCUGAAACGUCAUCUCUGAUUUCUCUCCACAGAUGCUGCCAGUUCUGCUGAACUUUUCCAGCAAUUUCUGCUUUUUAAUUUGUUUCUGAUUUACAGCAAUUGCAGUCCUUUCAGUUUUUAAUCCAGUAGAGUUCCACUGUUUUCUGAUGUAUAACCAUCAUUAAAACCUAGUUGUAGAAGCCAUAAUUUAGAAGUUUGCAGAUGAUAUGCAAUAAAUAAUCAUGUAGUUGACCAUAACGAAGAAAAUCGUGGACUGCAGGGAGAUAUCAAUCAAGUGGAAAGAUAAAAUGGUGAACGGAAUUGAAUCCAGAGAAGUGUGUGAUAAUGAAUUUAGGGAGACUGAACAAUGAAAGUGAGGAAUAGUAAGUGGUGUAGAGGAACAAAGAGACCUUAGAAUGAACAUUCACAAAUCCCUGAACGUGGUUCGACAGGGAGAUCAGGUGGUUGAGAGGGUUUUGAGAUACUUUCUGUUCUUGACCACAGGCUGGAAGAGAAGACCAGGGGGAGAUGAUGCCAGAGCUUUAACAAACACCAGUUUCGAGAACAGCUAGAGGGCUGAGCACAAGUCUGGUCACUGCGUUAAUCAACUUUCUAAAAAAAAAAUCAUGACAGAAGAUGGAGAGCAGGCAUAGACUUUUUGGCCCACAUCUGCUGCACCAUACAAUGAUAGCAUCGCUGAUACUGCUCCAAAUCAGUUUGGUAUGCACCUCAGAGAGGAACUUGCAGAUGGUAGUAUUUUGAUGCAUCUUCUAGUCUUGUCUUUCCAAGUGGUACAGCUUGCAGGCUUGGUAGGUGCUGUCAAAGAAGAGUGGGUGAGUAACUGCAGGGCAUCUUGCAGAUAGUGCACACUGCUGCCACUGUCCCUCAGUGGCGGAGGGAGUAAAUGCUGAAGGUACCGAAUGGGUCACCAGUAGGUGGUCUGCAUUGACCUGGAUAGUGUCAGGUUUCUCGAGCGUUGUUGGAGCUGCAUCCAUCUGAGCAGUUGGAGAGUGUUCUAUUACAUUCCUGCUGAUGCACAUGCUUUGGGGAGUCAUGAGUUGAAGUAAUCACCAUAGAAUCUCUUCACUUUGACCUAUUUGGUAGGCACAUUAUUCAGAUGGCAGCUCCAAUUCCGUUUCUCAUCAAUAUUAGCACCCAGGAUGAUGAUAAUGGGGAAUUCCGUGAAGAUAUACCCAGUGAAUGUCACUUGGCUGUGGUUAGAUUCUCAUUUCUUGGAUUUGGUCAUUAUUUGUUGGUGCAAAUGUUCUUUGUCACAUAGCAGGCUAACUUCAAUGUUGUCCAGGCAUACUGCAUUUAGAUAUCUACUGCUUCAGUAUCCAAGGAGCCACAAACGGUGCUAAAGUAUUGUGCAAUCAUCAGCAAACAUUGCCACUUCUGACCUUAUGACGCAGGGAAGGCCAUUGAUGAAACAGCUGAAGGUGGUUGGGACUAGAACCUGAUCCUGAGGAACUCCUGCGGCUGAGAGGAUUGCCUUCCGACAAUCAUAAGCCUCUUCUUUAUUCAGUAUUACCAAACCAGGGUGAAGUAGGGUAAGGAGGAUAAGAGAAUGUAUAAUGGAAACAUAAAAAAAGGAAAAAAAGGAGCAGAACACUGAAACACAGAACAAGUAGAAAAUUAAACUUGUCCAACCAGUACAGCAUAAGGUAAGAGUCAAAUACAACCAUAUAAGGACAUAGUUUCUGAACCUUAAGUAACUGUUGGCGGUUCACUGUUAUGGACAUGCAGUUAAACUACCUGAGCCACAAUAACUAUCUGUAUAGCUUAAGAUAGUCACCUAAGUAUUACUCACUCGGAAAGGCCGGCAUGCUGUGAGCUGAUGGUGGGGUUAGAGAAUCUUGGAAGAUAAUGUGGAAGUGGAAGUCCUGUUGAAAUUAGAGGACUCAGAACUUUGUCAGAAACUGAACAGCAUCCUGUCUUUGUCGUAAGUAACUGACAUACAAUUUAUUUAAUACCAAUGUUACAUGCAACCAUUCUGACAUGAAAGUGUCUUAAUAUGCUGUAUUGAGCUGUAAAAAGUUGAGUGUCUCCAAGCUAGACUUCGAGACUUCUUCCACAUGUCUGUGGUACAAGUUUGAUUAAAUUCACCUUUUUUGAUCUA